rnacentral:rRNA from 1 species
CCUACGGGAGGCAGCAGUGAGGAAUAUUGGUCAAUGGGCGGAAGCCUGAACCAGCCAAGUAGCGUGCGGGAUGAAGGCCCUACGGGUCGUAAACCGCUUUUGCACGGGGAUAACACCCUCCACUUGUGGAGGUCUGCAGGUACCGUGCGAAUAAGGGCCGGCUAAUUCCGUGCCAACAGCCGCGGUAAUACGGAAGGCCCGAGCGUUAUCCGGAUUCAUUGGGCUUAAAGGGAGCGUAGGCGGGCGUUCAAGUCAGCUGUAAAAGCGCGCGGCUCAACCGCGCCCCGCAGUUGAAACUGGACGCCUUGAGUUCACAACAGGCAGGCGGAAUUCGUGGUGUAGCGGUGAAAUGCAGAGAUAUCACGAGGAACCCCGAUUGCGAAGGCAGCCUGCCGGGGUGCGACUGACGCUGAGGCUCGAAGGUGCGGGUAUCAAACAGGAUUAGAUACCCCAGUAGUC